GGAGGAGCCAUGCACGGGAAGGCUCGGUGGGAAGGAUGAUCCAGGAUCCAAAGGCCUGGCAGUCUGAGCUUGCUGCCGGGGAAGGCCUUGGAGCAGAUCCUCCUGAGUGCCAUCCCAUGGCAUGUCAGGGAACCAGGGGGUUUGCUGGAGGGAGGGAAACUCUGCGGAGGGACGGGGACAGCUGGGGGUCCUGGCAGGCUGUUGAGAGCCUUGGUGCGGUGUUUGCCGGGUGUUGGUGUUGGAGGUGUGUUGGGGAAGGAGUUGUCUGGGAAGUGAGAGGUCUAGGUUGGAAUUUGAGUUUGUUUGAAGGCAGCAUCUGUGGUUUGGUACAGCUUUACUUAUGGGGCGCAGAAAAAAUAUCUGUGACUGUUUCUGUUUAUGGUCCUGAUUGUGCUGCAGGGAACAAGAGGGGAGAGCUGUACUUUAUUGGCCACUCAGAUCUCUAUACCGGGGCAGGGUUAGCCAUUUUGCCAUCUGCUCAUUGUUGCCAGAAGUUGCUCCAGGUGCUCCUGCCAACAGCCCCUGCAGGCAGGAGCACAGCCCCCAGUGCACGUGGCUGUGGCCCCCUCUGGCACAGAAGCCCCCAGGGGCACAGGUCUCUGGGGCAGGAGACGGGCACCAGCCCUGCCAGGGCUCGGGGGCUGGCAGGUCCGCUUGGGCAGGGACUCUGCCACAGCUGCUGGUGUCAGCGUUCCCAGGCCCCAGGGCUCAGAGCAGCAUUCCUGCCCUGGCCCACAGCUCCUUGUGUGUACCACACCCACAGGUUUAGGAUGGCCACGGGCCGGGACGUGUCCCAAGGAGGCCGUGGCAGCUUCGGUGGAAGGCCCUGUGCCCUUCCCGGCGCGGCUGCGUCGGCAGCCCUGGGGGCUCCUUCUGCUGCCCUGAGCCCGCAGAGCAGGGCAGCGUUUGCUGAUGGUCUGAGCCCUUCCUAAAGAUCCUGUUGGGCUGUCUCAGACACUUGGGUCCAGGGAUUCCUGCCAACCUGGGCCACUGUGGCUGGACAGGGGGUGGCCCCAGGGCAGGUGGCAGUGUGUGCAAAGGGCCCCUUUGUGACAUGGUGCAGCACGGUCACUAUGGCAUAGACUGG
rnacentral:lncRNA from 1 species